AUACAAAUCACUCCAGGAUCUUGUUAAAAUGCAGAAUCUGAGUCAUUAGAUCUCAGGUGUGGCCUGAGAUUCUGUGUUUCUAACAAGCUCCCAAGUGAGGUCAAU
rnacentral:pre_miRNA from 1 species